rnacentral:misc_RNA from 2 species
AAGUCGUAACAAGGUUUCCGUAGGUGAACCUGCGGAAGGAUCAUUAAUGAGUCUUUGAAGUGGGUUUGAUGCUGGUCUUUCGAGGCAUGUGCUCGCCCUAUUCUCAUCCACUCACACCUGUGCACCUUACGUUUAAGAAGUGGUUGUUGCCUCCCUUCGGGUUGGCAGGUUAGGGAAACCUAGCUAUGGCCCUUCUUUGCGUUACUUUACACAAACUCUUGAAUGUCAUAGAAUGUAUAUUGGCCUACGGGCUUUAAUUUAAAUACAACUUUCAACAACGGAUCUCUUGGCUCUC